rnacentral:rRNA from 1 species
UAACAGGAUUAGAUACCCUGGUAGUCCACGCCGUAAACGAUGUCUACUUGGAGGUUGUGGCCUUGAGCCGUGGCUUUCGGAGCUAACGCGUUAAGUAGACCGCCUGGGGAGUACGGUCGCAAGAUUAAAACUCAAAUGAAUUGACGGGGGCCCGCACAAGCGGUGGAGCAUGUGGUUUAAUUCGAUGCAACGCGAAGAACCUUACCUACUCUUGACAUCCAGAGAACUUUCCAGAGAUGGAUUGGUGCCUUCGGGAACUCUGAGACAGGUGCUGCAUGGCUGUCGUCAGCUCGUGUUGUGAAAUGUUGGGUUAAGUCCCGCAACGAGCGCAACCCUUAUCCUUGUUUGCCAGCGAGUAAUGUCGGGAACUCCAGGGAGACUGCCGGUGAUAAACCGGAGGAAGGUGGGGAUGACGUA